AGCGAACGCUGGCGGCAGGCCUAACACAUGCAAGUCGAACGAAGUCUUCGGACUUAGUGGCGGACGGGUGAGUAACACGUGGGAACGUGCCUUUAGGUUCGGAAUAACUCAGGGAAACUUGUGCUAAUACCGAAUGUGCCCUUCGGGGGAAAGAUUUAUCGCCUUUAGAGCGGCCCGGGUCUGAUUAGCUAGUUGGUGAGGUAAGGCUCACCAAGGCUACGAUCAGUAGCUGGUCUGAGAGGAUGACCAGCCACAUUGGGACUGAGACACGGCCCAAACUCCUACGGGAGGCAGCAGUGGGGAAUCUUGCGCAAUGGGCGAAAGCCUGACGCAGCCAUGCCGCGUGGAUGAUGAAGGUCUUAGGAUUGUAAAAUCCUUUCACCGGUGAAGAUAAUGACUGUAGCCGGAGAAGAAGCCCCGGCUAACUUCGUGCCAGCAGCCGCGGUAACAC
rnacentral:rRNA from 1 species